UGGGGAAUUUUGGACAAUGGGCGAAAGCCUGAUCCAGCCAUGCCGCGUGAGUGAAGAAGGCCUUCGGGUUGUAAAGCUCUUUUAGUCGGAAAGAAAAGAUCAUAAUGAACAAUUAUGAUUCAUGACGGUACCGACAGAAAAAGCACCGGCUAACUACGUGCCAGCAGCCGCGGUAAUACGUAGGGUGCGAGCGUUAAUCGGAAUUACUGGGCGUAAAGGGUGCGCAGGCGGUUUUGUAAGUCAGAUGUGAAAUCCCCGGGCUUAACCUGGGAAUUGCGUUUGAAACUGCAAGACUAGAGUGCAGCAGAGGGGAGUGGAAUUCCAUGUGUAGCAGUGAAAUGCGUAGAGAUGUGGAAGAACACCGAUGGCGAAGGCAGCUCCCUGGGUUGACACUGACGCUCA
rnacentral:rRNA from 1 species